UGACAAACUACAUUUGGUUCUUGAACGGUCGACCUCUGAACCUGACACACAACCAAAGCAAACACCUGCUUCUAGAUCCAGUCAGCAGUCAGGAUGCAGGAAGCUACUCAUGCUCAGUCAAAACUCACGACUUCGAGUCAGCUCCACAGACUCUCAUCGUCAUCAGUGCAUUAGAACAAUGGAUAUCAGCAAUAGCUGUAGGUGUCAAGGCUGUUUUCCUGGUUGUUUUGGUCGUCACUGCCUUGUUGAUGACGAGAAAAAAGAGGACUUCCAGACAAUCUCCAACAUCUCAAACAUCAGACAACACUGACCAGGAUGCUGAACUACACUAUGGCACAGUCUACUUCUGCAGAAACCACACAGAUCCUCAUUAUUCCACUGUGCAACCAGAUCAGACCAGAGAACAGGAGCACACUCAGUAUGCUGUUGUCAAAUUUAGACAUGAAAGAAGCGCAGAGUGACUGGCUGUUGUCGUAACACAGGAUGCAGACUCUCCUUACUCUCUCUUUAAAUGGUAUACCGAGUGAAACCACCUUUUCUAUGCUGUACCCUUCAUAAAACAUUGUUAGACCCUGCACCUGUUCCAUGUAUCAACUUUCAUCUCGUCAGCUUCACUUUGUUUGCCAAGAUCAUGAGCUGCAAUGCUAGAUGACAUGGCAUGUUGUUUAGUCAUAUUGGUUAGAAAUCCAGAUGAUUUAGAACAAGAGGAAGCUUUGCUUUUCAGAUGCCGUGUGAGUCACAACCCAUAAAGUCUGUGUCAAGUGUUGAGUCAUGUCUGAAGUGGUGAAGACGCAGCAAUUGAAAAAACAGAAGCUCAAUAAGAGAUGGAAGCACAUUCUUGUAAUGUUACGAUGUUCAAAAAAAUAUGAAAUAAACAGCUA